GCUAUGUCACAUACACAGCACAAUUCAUCCACUCAUCGUUCUUACAUACAAAGGCCUCUGCAAACAGACCGCCAACCGCGCCACCCACGCCACCGCGACCGACGAGCGUAUGAGGACGGGGCAUAUGAGGGUGGGAAAAGUCCCACCAUGGGCCGUGGUUCGAAAGCCGAUGGCCCAGACAAGUAAAGCCCGCAUGCGGGGAACGAAGAAAUACACGAUAGACUAUUCUAGGGUUGAUCGAGAGGGCUUUCUCUUCUCUUCCACCCGGCAGCCGGAAAGGUGCUGUUCUUGCCCCCCUCCUCCUCCUCCCGCUCUCCGAAGAAUCGAAGCAACAAAUAUGGACUCCUGCGGCGACGACGAUGAUGGGACAUGCGAAGCGAUAAUUCCUGGUCUGCCUGAUGAUUUGGCCUUGAGGUGUUUGGCAAAGAUCUCGCAUGGAUAUCAUGGAUUGCUAGAAUGUGUGUCAAAGAAAUGGAAACGAGCGAUCAGGAGCAUGGAUUAUGCUCAUAUAAAGGCCAGGGAAGGGUGGUGUGGGGAUUGGCUGUUUGUUUUGGGAGCCGACAGCCCAGCUCUGUGGCAUGCUUAUGAUCCUGAUGCAGAUCGUUGGCACCCUUUGCCAAGAAUGCCAGGAUUCACUGAUGAUGAUGAACUAUGCAGGUUUUCAUGUGUAAGUGUGAGCAACAAGUUCCUAGUGAUUGGUGGCUGCCACAUAUCACAUUCAGAAAAGAGGUGCUGGGAGACGAGAUCGGUGAUGGUGUUCGAUCCGUUCAAGAAGCAGUGGAACGCCACGGCUAACAUGCAAACAGCACGAACUGAUUUUGCAUGUGCUGUUAUCUCUGACAAGGUUUAUGUAGCUGGUGGAAGCAACUCUAGUAGUUCUGAAGGGCUUGCUACUGCUGAAGUUUAUGAUCCUGAUGCAGAUAAGUGGAAAGAUUUACCAUCAAUGCCUUUCCCCCUGAUCGAGUGCUUCAGCAUAUCCCAUGGAGGCCAAUUUCAUGUUGUCGGCAAGAGAAUCUGCAAUUUUCAGCAUGAUACUUAUGUUACCUUCAAUCCAUCAGAUCAAAAGUGGCAUGUUAUGGAAGAUUUGCUGCCAGUUUGUAAAUUGACACAUGACACUACAACCAUUAUUGAAAGUGACAUCUACAGCAUACUUCCAGAUGGCACUGUUACCAUGGUGAUGCCCGAUCAAAAGGAUUGGCACGCUUUGGGUGUAUAUCCUGCAGUGGUUCUACCAGACCACGAUAGACCAUUGAGUCCAUUCGGGUUUGGUUUUAUCGCAUUUGGGAGGUGCAUAUAUGUUGUUGGAGGUAUGGUUCUCAAGUAUAACACAAGCAAUCAUACGUAUGCAUAUGUGAAGCUAGAUGCAACUAAAUUCUGUGAUCCAAGAACUUCACCACUAGAAUGGCAGGAUGCUAAACCUAUGCCAGUACAAGCUUGUCGUAUUUUAGGAUGUGCUUCAAUGGAGGAAUAGAGUUCAUCCUGCUUUGUAUUGUAUCCAUUUUUGUAAGAUGUUACAAAAAGAAAGAUCUGACUGGAGACCUCAAUGGCUUCCAGCAUGAUAUGAUGUUUAUUCAGAGAAGUGUUGGAUUGGGAAUGACAUGCUGAUUCAUGGUUUUCCAUCCCGAUCUAUGUUUCCUUAUGAUUCCACAAAGGUGGAUAUCAUCUCAGGGUCAAUGGUUCUGCAUAAAGCUUAUCUCUUUGGGUUUCAAGAAAGCAGGGAUGGCACCAUCUGCCUAUGGUGGAUGCCGACCGUGAAGGAUGUUUGUGAUUCUAUAGUUGAUGCUCCCAGAACUGGACUUAGCAACUUGGUGGCUAGCCUUGCCUUGGGCAGCAUUUGUUCAAAACCGAUGUCCAGUGUUCUCCCGGUCUUCUGCUCACCAUUUAUCUUACCGUAGAAGAACUACUAGGAAUUCAUUCUGAGAGAGCUAACAGAGUACCGCUGAAGAGGACAAAGGCAAAGGAAAGAGAACGGAAACAAACAAAGAAAGCCUGUUAAACACAAAGAAUAGGAGUAAGAAAGAAGUCUGCCAAAGUAUACAGUUAAAUGUGCUCCUUAAUUACGCCGAACAUAUGGUUCAGGCUUUUCUCUCUGCUGCAAAUGCACAACUAUUGGCAUGGUAUCGCUGUUCAUAAUUAAGUUGAUUGAAUUGUAUCACUUGCCAGCUUGACUUGAAAGGCACAAUCAAACAGCAACUCCCAACAACAGGACAUGAGUCCUGCCGAAACACAUGUUAUGUCUGUAUGUUGUGUGCUUGUCAGUUCAUCAACCACUAAGGAAUGUUGACAAUAA